UACGGAGGGAUGCAAGCGUUAUCCGGGAUUUAUUGGGUUUAAAGGGUGCGUAGGCGGAUAAAUAAGUCAGUGGUGAAGCCUGCAGCUUAACUGUAGAAUUGCCAUUGAUACUGUUAUCUUGAGUACAGCUGAGGUGGGCGGAAUAUGACAUGUAGCGGUGAAAUGCUUAGAUAUGUCAUAGAACACCGGAUGCGAAGGCAGCUCACUAAACUGUCACUGACGCUGAGGCACGAAAGCGUGGGGAGCAAACCAGG
rnacentral:rRNA from 1 species